rnacentral:lncRNA from 1 species
UUUCAGUUCACUGCAACUUCCGCUUCCAGGAUUCAAGCAAUUCUCCUGCCUCAGCCUCCGAGAAGCUGUGACUACAGGGCAGAGUCUUACAGAUCUGGACCACAGCAGACCUGAAUCAAAUAAGAAUAUGCCCAGAUAUGGGGUAUUCGGGAGCAGAUUAUGAAACAAGGAAACUGAAGUCCUAAGCAGAUCCACAGUUCCAAAUUCUGAACCGCUUGAGGCCACAUCAGAUACAGGAUGCUAUUAUGCUAUUAGGGCUGUGGCUUAGUACAUUAUACAGAUGGUGGGGAAAGGCCUGCAGGAGAAAGGCCUACCAUUCCUGGAUUCCAAAAAUAGUGGUCUCCUAAGCAAUCGAUCUGCUUUUAUGUUUAAUAUUCAUCUGUUUCCCUUUCCCAGUUAACUCCUAGAGCCAAACUCACGGCCCACAGGAAGGAACCAUAUCAACCUGCACGGUGUGCUUUUAAUUUCCCUCACCUUGUUCCAGCCUCUAUUUUAUGUUGCCACUCUUUUCUUUCCUUUCUUUUUUGCUCAGGCUUUUAGUACAUAUUUAACUUUUAUUUUAUGUCUCCUCCUCUUCAAACCACCUUAAGUCCUUUUUGGAAUAGAGCAGAACACAAAUAAAAUAGGUGUCAGAUACAUUCUCUCUGUGACCUUGCAUUGGGUCAAAGGACUCAUGAAUGUGUGUUACCUGUAAUCUUUUGUGGAAAAGAGGAUUUUAAAAUUCUCUGCCAGCCUUCCCAAGUGGUGACAUUUUCCUAUACUACUUCUUUACUAUUUCCUUUAAUUUUGAUUAACCUUUGACUCAGACACCUCUGACUAGUAUCUUCUAGACUUUUCUCUUUUGCAUGUAAUACACAAAGCCUUCUUUUUUUAUUUUCUAAUUUCAGAAAGUGUAUAUUAAUUUAUUAGAGAACUUAGGUGGCUGAUUGAAAAAAAAAGGAGGGAGGUACAGAUUUAAACUUUUUUCCAUCAAGAGUAUUGCAAACCAGCAAUACCAUUUCAUUAGUCUGGCUGGUGCUUUCAAAACCUAUCAAGGAACAAGGAGAAAGUCACGGCAGGGUCACUCAAAAAUUCAUCUAUCGCCAGGCGUGGUGGCCCAUGCCUGGAAUCCCAGCACUUUGCCAGGCCGAGGCAGGCUGAUCACUUGAAGUCAGGAGAUUGAGACCAGCCUGGCCAACAUGGUGAAACCCCGUCUUUACCAAAAAGACAAAAAUUAGCCAGGCAUGGUGGUGUGAAUCUGUAGUUCCAGCUACUCUGGAGGUUGAGGCAGGAGAAUUGCUUGAGCCCAGGAGGUGGAGGCUGCAGUGAGCCAAAAUCGUGCCACUGCACUCUAGCCUGGAAGACAGAGCAACACCCUGUCUCAGAAAAAAAAGAAAGAAAGAGAGAAAGAGAAAAAGGAAAGAAAGACAGAAAGACAGGAAGGAAGGAAGGAAGGAAGGAAGGAAGGAAGGAAGGAAGGAAGGAAGGAAGGAAGGAAAGGAAAUAAUCGUCUAUCCCCUAAGUAAUAUAUGUGGCUGCUCUUGCUAUUACAAGUAUUGAGAGACUUCUCGAAGGCCUCAAUUCCUGAAACUCAAAGAUUGCCCCCAAAAUCCAGACAUGGUAGGUGCUCAGUGCUAUCUAUUGAAUGAAUUAAUGAAGCCAAACCAAGAGGCUGGGGAAGAAUUAAUGAAUUCAUUGGGUCUGUUCAUGGCAGUUCUGAGGCCCCAGAUGGGACUGAUGUAUUUUCAAAGACAUCAGUCUUUGAAAAUUUGCUAAACUGUUGCUGUGGUAUUCUCAAGGAGAGAGGGGCUGAGCAGACAUGGCUGGUCUCUGAAGAAGGGCAGUUUUGAAGCAGAAAGCAUCAGUGGACCAGGAAAACUUCUUUGCAGAAGCCCCUGGAAAUGCCAUUAUUCUAUAAAAUGAGCCCUUCCCUUUC